ACCACACACGCCGGCGUCCGAUCCCCAGCUCCAAGAAGCCCCCGGAAUCACACGCGGCCGGCGGAAAGCGAAACCCCCGAUGAGGCCGCGGCCGCGCCUGCCAACCCACGAUUACAUCUCCGUUGCCGUUGGCUGGCAGAGAGCAGACUCAGCAGAGCAGAGACCGAGCAGGGCGCGCGCUCGGCUCGGCGGCAGCCUGCCUCGAACACUUUCGAACUCCGGCGACUCCUCAGCCGCCGGCAGGCCGCAACGGCGACCCACGGCCACACGGCCAUCCAGACCUUUGCCUAAGGGUGAUGAGGAACCCCAUGAAGAGCUGAAGAGAACGGUAUCUUUGCGCGACAGGAACAUCAGUAAACUUCAGGCGAAAGGAACAUCAGUAAACUUCAGGUGCCUCCCUCAGGGGUACAUUCAAGCUGCUUUCCAUUGUUUGCCACCCAAGUCCAGAGUUGUUGCUUUGCAUCAUUGUGACAAACUCAGAAUAGUUGGUCUGGCCAUCCUGAAAAUUUACAGAAAGAGAAGUUUACACACCAGAUUUUUCACCAGGGA